UACGUAGGGUGCGAGCGUUGUCCGGAUUUAUUGGGCGUAAAGAGCUCGUAGGCGGUGUGUCGCGUCGGCCGUGAAAACCUGCAGCUUAACUGUGGGCUUGCGGUCGAUACGGGCAUCACUGGAGUUCGGCAGGGGAGACUGGAAUUCCUGGUGUAGCGGUGAAAUGCGUAGAUAUCGGGAAGAACACCUAUGGCGAAGGCAGCUCUCUGGGACGGUACUGACGCUGAGACGCGAAAGCGUGGGGAGCGAACAGG
rnacentral:rRNA from 1 species